AUUGAACGCUGGCGGCAGGCCUAACACAUGCAAGUCGAACGCGUGGCGGACGGGUGAGUAAUGUCUGGGAAACUGCCUGAUGGAGGGGGAUAACUACUGGAAACGGUAGCUAAUACCGCAUACCAUCGGAUGUGCCCAGAUGGGAGUAGCUAGUAGGUGGGGUAAAGGCUCACCAAGUCGACGAUCCAUAGCUGAUCUGAGAGGGUGACCGGCCACACUGGAACUGAGACACGGUCCAGACUCCUACGGGAGGCAGCAGUGGGGAAUAUUGCGCAAUGGGCGAAAGCCUGACGGAGCAAUGCCGCGUGUGUGAAGAAGGCCUUCGGAUUGUAAAACACUUUCAGCAGGGAAGCGUUACCCGAAGAGGAAGCAACGGCUAACUCCGUGCCAGCAGCCGCGGUAAUUC
rnacentral:rRNA from 1 species